GGAAGGAGCUGUUCCAGGCUCUCUCCUUGGCGAGUAGAUGGUCAUCUUCUUCCUAUGACAUCACAUCAUCUUCUCUCUGUGCAGACUCAGGCUCCGUGAAGAGAAGAUUCAGUCUGCUUAUGUCACUGCUGUAGGCCCAGUGAAAAGAAAGUGCCUGUGAAAUAAUAGGUUUCUCCAAAUCUGCAUUAAGAAGAUCCAGUGAAAAAUUUCUUUCUAAGUAACAUGUUGACCGGGAAUGGACUUGCUAGAUAUCAAAAUAAG